ACGUGAGACAUACGUUCCUUAGCCACGCUUCUGUUUCCACCGUUGGGGAGUAAGUAGCUGGAGCUGGCCUCUGUUGUGGGAGCUCAAAAGCUUGUUUUGUUGUUCUGGUUUAACCACUGAUUGAUUGUUUUUUAAUCAUUUACUUUUGGGCAACCAAAGACUGCUUUUUUUUGGUAAUGUGUCUUGAAUUGAAGACAAUGAAAGGAAACUACCAGAAGGACAACAAGGCCGCGCCUGAUCACAAGAAAAAGUGGUCAAAAUCAAAGAGGAGGACUUUUCUGCGCGCAAAUAUGGGAGAAGGGAGGCGAAAGGUCCGCGUUUGGUCGGCCAAGAGACCACAGCUGAGUCCGGACCGUGUCGACGGUGCAGCUAACGUUACGGGGAAUCAAAGUUCCGUGCCAUCUGCAGCCAUGGCACCAAGAAACACAACGCAAUAUUUAAUGGACCUGGUGUACGCUGACCGAUUAGAUGUUUGUGAUGUAAGCCAUGAUUUCUCAACGCAGAGUAAUGUCCCAUCUGAUGAGAGCGUUUUCUCAAUGUCGGACUCUGAUUACGACAGAUCUUUGGACUUCCAACAGAGAGACUUCGAGAACGUGUUCUUCGGGAAUGAAAUCUGACGCGUUUCCGAAACCGAACUUGCUUUCGUCGGAACGAGACGACUGGGCAGCUGUGGACCCAUAGACAGUAAUAUCAUUGCGCAGACUCCAACUCAGGGAGGCGGAACGCCCUGCGUCACGGCUGCGUGAUGACGUGUACACCACGCACCGCUCCCAGUACGACCACAUCACGUGGCCAGCAGGUAAACUCGCUCCACCCUUUGUGUACGCGGUGUAAGAGCGCUGCAGUAGCGUGCUGUCGCAGUGUAAUUACUGAGAAAUGUGCAUGCAUUGUUCUGCCAACGGGUGCAUGUGUUUUGGGAGACUUUUACAGGUUGCUGAUCCUCCUCGGUGGAUCUCAGCUGUCUGUGCAACCCACCCAGAGCCUUGGGAAAGCCUGCUCAUCGCUGCUGGGUAAAUGUUUGAAUGUAAAUCUACACAAGUGCACUCAGAGCUACAACUCAUGUGAUAUGAUCUACUUUUGUAAAUAUUGAUUGCAUUAACUAUUCAAAUUUAAGUUACAUCUGACUUUCAUGUUCUUUUGUUU